ensembl:piRNA 21ur-865 ncRNA
UGAUUUCGGUUUGUAACUUUG